rnacentral:rRNA from 1 species
CCUACGGGUGGCAGCAGUAGGGAAUAUUGCUCAAUGGGGGAAACCCUGAAGCAGCAACGCAGCGUGGAGGAUGAAGGUUUUCGGAUUGUAAACUCCUUUUGUUAGAGAAGAUAAUGACGGUAUCUAACGAAUAAGCACCGGCUAACUCCGUGCCAGCAGCCGCGGUAAUACGGAGGGUGCAAGCGUUACUCGGAAUCACUGGGCGUAAAGAGGGCGUAGGCGGGAUAGCAAGUCAGAUGUGAAAUCCUAUGGCUUAACCAUAGAACUGCAUUUGAAACUGUUAUUCUAGAGUAUGGGAGAGGUAGGUGGAAUUCUUGGUGUAGGGGUAAAAUCCGUAGAGAUCAAGAGGAAUACUCAUUGCGAAGGCGACCUGCUAGAACAUAACUGACGCUGAUGCGCGAAAGCGUGGGGAGCAAACAGGAUUAGAUACCCCUAUAGUC